UACGUAGGGAGCAAGCGUUGUCCGGAAUCAUUGGGCGUAAAGCGCGCGUAGGUGGCUCUAUAAGUCCGUUGUGAAAGUCAAAGGCUCAACCUUUGAAAGCCGAUGGAUACUGUAGAGCUAGAGUCCGGAAGAGGCGAGUGGAAUUCCCGGUGUAGUGGUGAAAUGCGUAGAGAUCGGGAGGAACACCUGUGGCGAAGGCGGCUCGCUGGGCCGGUCCUGACGCUGAGACGGGAAGGCGUGGGGAGCGAACGGG
rnacentral:rRNA from 1 species